GCAGUAGCAGACGUAAACGCUUUGCAGCGCCAGUGUGUGUCGUGUCUUCCUUUUGUGGUUCGUCUUAGGUGUUUGCGCUGUAAGUUUAAGUUCAGAGGCUUUGUAGCAAGGAUGGCUGAAGUUCGCGGCAGCAAUUUCUCCUUUGUUCGGGCGCCAGACUGCUUCUUCUGCGGUGACAGCUGUAGGGAAGACGCUGACCUCUGUGGGUGCGGGUAUGAACACGAUGUUACCGGUGUUUGGGGCAACAUGGUCCACAUACGUGCCAGACUGCAUCUUAUCUCCCUUCCGCAUUGAGUGAGCAACCCUCUUCACAGGUGCCAUAGCGGCACCUGUGAACCCUUUUCUUCCAUGCUGCACCAGCGCAUUACCAGCAGCGAGCGCCGCCAUCAUGGAAGUAGUGCGCAACAGGAAAAUGUUACAGUGCACAGCCUUUCAUGUGCCCGGCAUGUCCAGAGUUCCCCGUACCAAGGCUUUCUAUUACUUCCUCUGUACUUGUGUACGAUUGAUUUCGGUUGCGAUUAAAAUUGCACUGUGCAACAUUCGUAUUAAACUUCCGCAGAGCUGCUGCGCUAUUUCAGCUUAUAUAGAAUUUUUUCGCCGUCCCAUUCACUUGAUUUUAAUGAGUUUACUGCAUUUUCAUGUUGGCUUCAUUUCUUUUGCAACAAGGUUUGAGUGUAAAUGAGUAUGAAUUCAAGGAUGGGGACCAAGUUACAACAGCUGUUGCGUCACGGGGACCUGUUGUGUCACUUAACCGCUUCUACAUAGAUCCUUGUCUUGAAAAUUUGUGGACAUUGAUCUUCAUUCUUUGGUGAAAAAAUGCAAGCAAGCAGUUGAUCGAGCCACAAAAUUUUAUUGUCAGCCUGUUCUUUCAAAUACACUACACAGAGUGGGUUACACUUGUGUGACCUUGUGUUGCAAAAUAAGGGGUGGAACACUUGUACGAAGCCAAAGCAGAGAGAGGUGGCAGGGCCGUGUGCAGAGACGAACAUACGGAGACAAGGGGUGGCAACACUCGACGUAUGAUAUGUUCACUGAGACAAAAUGACCACACAAACUGCCCUUGCAACAAGCCCUACGAUGCUGCUGGCCUCCAACCAAACACAUGCACGCACGCACGCACUUCCGGUCAGGGGAGAAAGGGGGCAUGCAGAGAGGCACUAACGCUGGACAACCUGUACAAAAAGAUGCCUAGGCCUUUAGCUGCUGGAAAGCUCGGCUCGUUGGUGGUGCGACACCUUAAGGGUCAAGAAAAAAAAAAAAGAAA